UAGGGAAUCUUCGGCAAUGGACGGAAGUCUGACCGAGCAACGCCGCGUGAGUGAAGAAGGUUUUCGGAUCGUAAAGCUCUGUUGUAAGAGAAGAACGAGUGUGAGAGUGGAAAGUUCACACUGUGACGGUAUCUUACCAGAAAGGGACGGCUAACUACGUGCCAGCAGCCGCGGUAAUACGUAGGUGGCAAGCGUUAUCCGGAUUUAUUGGGCGUAAAGAGAGUGCAGGCGGUUUUCUAAGUCUGAUGUGAAAGCCUUCGGCUUAACCGGAGAAGUGCAUCGGAAACUGGAUAACUUGAGUGCAGAAGAGGGUAGUGGAACUCCAUGUGUAGCGGUGGAAUGCGUAGAUAUAUGGAAGAACACCAGUGGCGAAGGCGGCUACCUGGUCUGCAACUGACGCUGAGACUCGAAAGCAUGGGUAGCGAACAGGAUUAGAUACCCUGGUAGUCCAUGCCGUAAACGAUGAGUGCUAGGUGUUGGAGGGUUUCCGCCCUUCAGUGCCGGAGCUAACGCAUUAAGCACUCCGCCUGGGGAGUACGACCGCAAGGUUG
rnacentral:rRNA from 1 species